UAGAGUUUGAUCAUGGCUCAGAAUGAACGCUGGCGGCGUGCUUAACACAUGCAAGUCGCACGAGAACUCUUUAGCUUGCUAAAGAUAGUAAAGUGGCGCACGGGUGAGUAACACGUGGGUAAUCUACCUCUGAAUCGGGGAUAACACCGCGAAAGCGAUGCUAAUACCGGAUAAUAUCUUUUAAGCUUCGGCUUACCAGAUCAAAGGUGGCCUCUACAUGAAAGCUACUGUUUGGAGAUGGGCCCGCGUACCAUUAGCUUGUUGGUGGGGUAAUGGCCCACCAAGGCAUCGAUGGUUAGCUGGUCUGAGAGGAUGAUCAGCCACACUGGAACUGACACACGGUCCAGACUCCUACGGGAGGCAGCAGUGAGGAAUUUUGCGCAAUGGGGGAAACCCUGACGCAGCAACGCCGCGUGAGUGAUGAAGGCCCUCGGGUCGUAAAACUCUGUCAAGUGGGAAGAACCUGCUUUAUGUUAAUACCAUAUUGCACUGACGGUACCACUGAAGGAAGCACCGGCUAACUCCGUGCCAGCGGCCGCGGUAAUACGGAGGGUGCAAGCGUUACUCGGAAUUAUUGGGCGUAAAGAGCGCGUAGGCGGUCUUUUAAGUCAGAUGUGAAAGCCCGAGGCUUAACCUCGGAAGUGCAUUUGAAACUAAGGGACUUGGGUAUGGGAGAGGGAAGUGGAAUUCCUGGUGUAGAGGUGAAAUUCGUAGAUAUCAGGAGGAACACCGGUGGCGAAGGCGACUUCCUGGACCAAUACUGACGCUGAGGCGCGAAGGCGUGGGGAGCAAACAGGAUUAGAU
rnacentral:rRNA from 1 species